CUUCUCCGCCGGCGACCGCGCACGGUGAGUAACACGUAUGCAACCUGCCCCUGUCAGGGGGACAACCCGCCGAAAGGCGGGCUAAACCCGCGUACAUGCCACCGGGGCAUCCCGGAGGCAGGAAAGGCUUCGGCCGGACAGGGAUGGGCAUGCGGCGCAUUAGGCAGUAGGCGGGGUAACGGCCCACCUAACCGACGAUGCGUAGGGGUUCUGAGAGGAAGGUCCCCCACACUGGUACUGAGACACGGACCAGACUCCUACGGAAGGCAGCAG
rnacentral:rRNA from 1 species